GGUUUGAUGUUUUGGAAACACUAGACCUUGAACGUCCAAUUAAGAUGUUCGAAUCAUCUUCAA
rnacentral:tRNA from 1 species